rnacentral:rRNA from 1 species
CCUACGGGUGGCAGCAGUGAGGAAUAUUGGUCAAUGGACGAGAGUCUGAACCAGCCAAGUAGCGUGAAGGAUGACUGCCCUAUGGGUUGUAAACUUCUUUUAUAUGGGAAUAAAGUGAGGCACGUGUGCCUUUUUGUAUGUACUUUAUGAAUAAGGAUCGGCUAACUCCGUGCCAGCAGCCGCGGUACUACGGGGGAUCCGAGCUUUAUCCGGAUUUAUUGGGUUUAACGGGAUCGUAGAUGGGUUGUUAAGUCAGUUGUGAACGUUUGCGGUUCAACCGUAAAAUUGCAAUUGAUACUGGAGGUCUUGGGUAAAGUGAGGGGGGGCGGAAUUCGGGUGGAGGGGGUGAA